ensembl:snoRNA small nucleolar RNA, C/D box 23
UGCCCAGUGAUGACACCAUCCUUGCUCCCCGUGCCCUCAGGGGCUGUGGGUGACACCUUGCCACCCCGGGCUGGCCCAGUGAGGCCGAUACCCAGGGGCUGAGGGCA